rfam:Cicer arietinum chromosome Ca3, whole genome shotgun sequence.
AGGGGCGAUCAUACCAGUAUUAAUGCACCGGAUCCCAUUAGAACUCUGUAGUUAAGCAUGCUUGAGCGAGAGUAGUACUCGGGCGGGUGACCACCUGGGAAGUCCUCGUGUUGCACCUU